UACGUAGGGUGCGAGCGUUGUCCGGAAUUACUGGGCGUAAAGGGCGCGCAGGCUGUUAUGCGAGUCUGCUGUGAAAUGUACAGGCUCAACCGGUGCCUUGCGGCGGAUACUGCAUAGCUGGAGUACUGGAGAGGGAAGUGGAAUUCCCGGUGUAGCGGUGAAAUGCGUAGAGAUCGGGAGGAACACCAGUGGCGAAGGCGGGUAACUGGACUGCAACUGACGCUGAGGCGCGAAAGCAUGGGUAGCGAACAGGA
rnacentral:rRNA from 1 species